rnacentral:rRNA from 1 species
UACGAGAGGCCCAAACGUUAUUCGGAUUUACUGGGCUUAAAGAGUUCGUAGGCGGCACGGACAGUGGGGUGUGAAAUCCCUCGGCUUAACCGAGGAACUGCGCUCCAAACUAUCGUGCUAGAGGGGGAUAGAGGUAAGCGGAACUGAUGGUGGAGCGGUGAAAUGCGUUGAUAUCAUCAGGAACACCGGAGGCGAAGGCGGCUUACUGGGUCCUUUCUGACGCUGAGGAACGAAAGCUAGGGGAGCAAACGGG